UACGAAGGGGGCUAGCGUUGCUCGGAAUCACUGGGCGUAAAGCGCACGUAGGCGGAUUGCUAAGUCAGGGGUGAAAUCCUGGAGCUCAACUCCAGAACUGCCUUUGAUACUGGCGAUCUCGAGUCCGGGAGAGGUGAGUGGAACUGCGAGUGUAGAGGUGAAAUUCGUAGAUAUUCGCAAGAACACCAGUGGCGAAGGCGGCUGCCUGGGCCUGGCCUGACGCUGAGGCGCGAAAGCGUGGGGAGCAAUCCGG
rnacentral:rRNA from 1 species